rnacentral:rRNA from 1 species
UACGAAGGGGGCUAGCGUUGCUCGGAAUCACUGGGCGUAAAGCGCACGUAGGCGGUUCUUUAAGUCAGGGGUGAAAUCCUGGAGCUCAACUCCAGAACUGCCUUUGAUACUGAGGAUCUUGAGUCCGGGAGAGGUGAGUGGAACUCCGAGUGUAGAGGUGAAAUUCGUAGAUAUUCGGAAGAACACCAGUGGCGAAGGCGGCGCACUGGCCCGGUACUGACGCUGAGGUGCGAAAGCGGGGGGAGCAAACAGG